GGGGAUUUAGCUCAGUGGUAGAGCGCUUGCCUAGCACGCACAAGGCCCUGGGUUCGGUCCCCAGCUCCG
rnacentral:tRNA from 1 species